GGCAUGCGGGACCUGUCGGUGGUCUGGAUAGCAUGUGGAGCUUCGCUAGCAACCUGGCAUUUCAUCUCUGACAAAGUUAUCCCCGAGAGAAGUAAAGCAAGUGUAUCAACUGGCGUUUAGAUCAACUGGCGUUGGUCGAACAGAUGUGUGGCAGUCUUGCGUUUCAGGAGCUCCUACCGACAAACCAGCAAAAAAACGCCAAAUGUGUCAUCUGUGACACUUGACAGCAAGAGUAAACGAUCGGGAGACCCUUGUCGUCGUUAUCGUUCCACUCGCACGGUUUAUUUCACCGAAUUCAGCGUUUUUGCUCCACAACUAAAGCGAGCAGUUUGCUCUGUGCACCAACAUGGAGUCGAGUCAACCAGCGCCACCUCUGGCCAAGUGCCACAGCCUACAGCCAGAUCAACUGGUGACACACAUCUGCAGCACGUUUGAAUUCGUGUCAUGCACAUUUGUACCUUUCAAUUGUGUCUGUUUGUGCGUCAUGC
ensembl:lncRNA